GACGAACUGUGCAAACGUUAUUCGGAAUUACUGGGCGUAAAGCGCACGUAGGCGGAUAUUUAAGUCAGGGGUGAAAUCCCAGAGCUCAACUCUGGAACUGCCUUUGAUACUGGGUAUCUCGAGUAUGGAAGAGGUGAGUGGAAUUCCGAGUGUAGAGGUGAAAUUCGUAGAUAUUCGGAGGAACACCAGUGGCGAAGGCGGCUCACUGGUCCAUUACUGACGCUGAGGUGCGAAAGCGUGGGGAGCAAACAGG
rnacentral:rRNA from 1 species